rnacentral:lncRNA from 10 species
GGAGGAAGAAGGAAGGAACGAGAGAGAGGUUUCCAGAAGUUCCCCAGUCAUUGAGCAUUUCUGAGGCUCUUGAUGCAUAUGCCAAGUAGUUAUGGAGAAAGACACAGCAGCUUACCUCUGCAGGCAUCAUUGUGUGAAAGGAAGACCCAGGCUCUCUCACCACCCUUGAACAGAAGCCUUUUGCUAAGGUGAUAGCUACAUGUCCAAGCCUAUUGCGUGGCAUGCAUUUUGCCUUCUGCAGCCCACUAAAGGAGUUUGCAGUUCACCCGCAAACCUCAGCGAUCCAAGCUCCCCUGGAUGACCAUCACUCACCAAGAAAAGAGCAAUAACAGGACCUGUUUUGCUAAUCCAGGACUGUUCUCCAGCACUAACUCUAAAUAAUCCCUUCUGCUAGAGUCCACUUUCUGGAACCUGUUGCCUCCGUUUUCAACGUUUCCCAAACUUGGUCCGUUGUGUGAGCUGGCUGAUAAAAGUUCCAGGUAACCUUCCUUGUUCUCAAGGUCCAUUUUCCAGGAAAAUCUGAGUCAUGGUGCUGGGGAGGACACUUAAGUACAUCAGUCAAUCAGAUGAUUAUUAAAUUUAGGAAAUAGUAGAUCAACUGGAUUAACUGGAUUAAAAUGCAGAAUCCCAGGCCCCAGCCCAGACCUACUGAACCAGCAUCUGCUCUUUAACAAGAGCCCCAUGUGAUGUGUGGGACAGAAAACUUUGUGAAGCACAGGGCUAGACAGUCUCUAAAGUCUUCUGCAGAUCAGAAACGCAGCAAUUCUGAGGUUUUCUUCAAUUUUCUAAU